rnacentral:rRNA from 1 species
GUGGGGAAUAUUGGACAAUGGGCGAAAGCCUGAUCCAGCCAUGCCGCGUGUGUGAAGAAGGUCUUCGGAUUGUAAAGCACUUUAAGUUGGGAGGAAGGGUAGUAACCUAAUACGUUGCUACUUUGACGUUACCGACAGAAUAAGCACCGGCUAACUUCGUGCCAGCAGCCGCGGUAAUACGAAGGGUGCAAGCGUUAAUCGGAAUUACUGGGCGUAAAGCGUGCGCAGGCGGCUUUGUAAGACGGAUGUGAAAGCCCCGGGCUCAACCUGGGAACUGCCUCCAAAACUACUGAGCUAGAGUACGGUAGAGGGUAGUGGAAUUUCCUGUGUAGCGGUGAAAUGCGUAGAUAUAGGAAGGAACACCAGUGGCGAAGGCGACUACCUGGACUGAUACUGACACUGAGGUGCGAAAGCGUGGGGAGCAAACAGGAUUAGAUACCCGAGUGUCC